UCCUACGGGAGGCAGCAGUAGGGAAUCUUCCGCAAUGGACGAAAGUCUGACGGAGCAGCGCCGCGUGAGUGAUGAAGGCUUUCGGGUCGUAAAAUUCUGUUGUUAGGGAAGAACAAGUGCUAGUUGAAUAAGCUGGCACCUUGACGGUACCUAACCAGAAAGCCACGGCUAACUACGUGCCAGCAGCCGCGGU
rnacentral:rRNA from 1 species